UGGGGAAUAUUGGACAAUGGGCGCAAGCCUGAUCCAGCCAUGCCGCGUGAGUGACGAAGGCCUUAGGGUUGUAAAACUCUUUCGUCGGGGACGAUAAUGACGGUACCCGAAGAAGAAGCUCCGGCUAACUUCGUGCCAGCAGCCGCGGUAAUACGAAGGGAGCUAGCGUUGUUCGGAAUCACUGGGCGUAAAGCGCACGUAGGCGGAUAGUUAAGUCAGGGGUGAAAUCCUGGGGCUCAACCCCAGAACUGCCUUUGAUACUGGCUGUCUCGAGGUCGAGAGAGGUUGGUGGAAUUCCUAGUGUAGAGGUGAAAUUCGUAGAUAUUAGGAAGAACACCAGUGGCGAAGGCGGCCAACUGGCUCGAUACUGACGCUGAGGUGCGAAAGCGUGGGGAGCAAACAGGAUUAGAUACCCCCGUAGUCCCUGAGCGGGCUGGCAAGGCGCAU
rnacentral:rRNA from 1 species